rnacentral:tRNA from 1 species
GGAAGUGUUGCCUAGUGGACAGAGCACUGGACUGGGACUCAGGAGAACUGGGUUCUAUUCCCAGCUUUGCUA